rnacentral:rRNA from 1 species
CGAACGGGUGAGUAACGCGUGAGUAACCUGCCCUGGAGUGGGGGACAACAGUUGGAAACGACUGCUAAUACCGCAUAAGCCCACGGAUCCGCAUGGAUCUGCGGGAAAAGGAUUUAUUCGCUUCAGGAUGGACUCGCGUCCAAUUAGCUAGUUGGUGAGGUAACGGCCCACCAAGGCGACGAUUGGUAGCCGGACUGAGAGGAUGAACGGCCACAUUGGGACUGAGACACGGCCCAA